UAGGGAAUCUUCGGCAAUGGACGAAAGUCUGACCGAGCAACGCCGCGUGAGUGAAGAAGGUUUUCGGAUCGUAAAACUCUGUUGUUAGAGAAGAACAAGGACGUUAGUACUGAACGUCCCCUGACGGUAUCUAACCAGAAAGCCACGGCUAACUACGUGCCAGCAGCCGCGGUAAUACGUAGGUGGCAAGCGUUGUCCGGAUUUAUUGGGCGUAAAGCGAGCGCAGGCGGUUUCUUAAGUCUGAUGUGAAAGCCCCCGGCUCAACCGGGGAGGGUCAUUGGAAACUGGGGGACUUGAGUGCAGAAGAGGAGAGUGGAAUUCCAUGUGUAGCGGUGAAAUGCGUAGAUAUAUGGAGGAACACCAGUGGCGAAGGCGGCUCUCUGGUCUGUAACUGACGCUGAGGCUCGAAAGCGUGGGGAGCAAACAGG
rnacentral:rRNA from 1 species